GUGACUUGACUAUCCAUUUAGUGUGUAGGGAUGAGAUCCUGGAACACUUCAGUACAUGUUUAACACAUGAAUAUUUCCAUUAGAAUCAGUGUGACAACAUGCAUGAUGAAACUUCAGCACGUGCAGUCGUGUCUCCUGGACCAGGGUUUGGUGAGCAGGAAACCAGUAACAAUGAUAAGAAAUUCCAUCGUCUCCUCUGCUUUCACAGCGCAGGUUUCCUUCCUGGGAAUCUGAAAAAGAAGAUGAAAAAUGGAAGUCAUUACAAGUGUACAGCUAAUUAGGAAACAACCCCCAAUGAUCAACAACGCCACUUGAAAGUGUCUGAAUCAGGAUUUAAAAACUCCACACAUCUGUACAGAAGAAGAUCACAAAAAUAUAGAUGCGGCAUAGGGACAUAACUGAACAACCAACAUCCUUUAUUAUUAAUGAUGGGCUAAAAGUCUCUAUGUAUGGAAAGAGAAAAUAAAUGAAGAAGACAACAAGUCCAGCAGGCAUGACCAGGCUUUACGUCUGCUACUUCAUAUUUCUUAAAUUUCCACCAGCUAGAUUUGGAAUUAAGCACCUUCAGCAAAUUCAACUUUUAUAGCCCCUCCUGUUCUCUCUACCCACCGUUACAUAUUCAUGUCAAAUAAAUUUACAUUAAGGCUUUGAUAUAUCAGGACUUAAGCAGUUGUGAACUUUCAGCAAAUGUGAUGUUUCAGGACUUGAAGCUAUCAAAAUCACAUCACUUCACACAGAAUUAUCUCUUUUUUACUAAGCACCUUUUCAUAGUGUGUACGGAUUAAUUUCAGGGUUAUUUGGUAAAUGUAAUUUAGAAACGGAUCCCAGUAUUAUAAUUAUUCAAUAAACAGACUGUAUACUCUGUAGGGAUUAAACUGUCAUACGUAUGACAGACAGAGACAUAUCUUUCUUUUCUUCAUUUUUGUUCUAUUAUUGAAAAAAACAUCAUUUAUGUGGCAUUAAACACCAUCUGGGAAAUAUAUACUGUUGACUGGAGCCCCACGUUAAUUCCAGCAGCUUUCCAAAUGAGGUCUGACAUUGCAUUCCCCAGCAAUUGCCACCAUCCUUUAGGUUUGGCUUUAUAUCAUCUUACCCUGGGUCUAUUUUUACAUCUCCCCCUCACUAGUGCAAUCAACUGUAAGUCUAGGGAAUAAAAAAGAAGUGAGGAAAGGAAGAAGGGUGGAAGGGAGGAGAAGGCGAGGGAGAAGCUGAAGGAGAGGGCAGGAAGGAAGGCGGCACUCUCUUUAACGCAGAAAACAGGAAAGGGAAAGCCGGUCUUUCCUACAGGGAGACCUUAGGGGUUUUCAGUAUGUUACCAUUUGGCCCAUGGGAUCAAUAAACACGGCAAAAAGUCUGGUGCGAUGCUUCAGAGUCAGAGCACUGGAGCACCGCAAGCAGUUACAUCAUCUGGGCAUCUUCGACCUACUGCCACGGACCUGUUUUGUGGUAGCAGUCAUUUUUUAGGAUUUAAGGGCAGGUGCCGUCAGGAUCAGUGUCGGAUGCUGCAGGAAGGGAGGGCCGGGGGCUGUCACCCCGCCGCCAGCUUGCGUGACGUGCCUGGGGCAGGCGCCUGGCUCAGCAAAGCCCACUCUCCCAGCUGUCCCGUCCCCUGCAGCUGGCCAAGAAAGCAACUCUACCAAGAAAUACAGACACAUUUCAGCACGGUGCUGGGAGUGCGCAAACUCCCAGGCCAUGGCAGGCAAGGGACAGAGGCAGCAAUGUCCCCUUAGUCGCUACUUGUGAAAACAUGUAAAUUAACAAAACAAAAGGCAACAUUAACCUCUAAAACUCAGCUUUAAAGUAUGAGAAGGCAAUCUGAAUACAGAGGAAAGAAUGGAGUGGGAUACAACUUAAGCCUGUGUUUAUGCUUGUAGUAAUUACAAGAAUAUUUCCUACCUUAUCGUGAGCUCAAAAUGUGAAGUAUUAAAUUUGCUGGCAAUAAAAAACUACAGUGAAAUGUCAGCACAGGUCAGAAAAUAAGGCACUUAAAAGGAUUUGGAUGAGGACAAAUCAAAUAUUUUAUUCAUAGGAUUUAAGACAAAAAAUUUACUUUCUCAGGACACAAAUCCAAGGCAGAACAUUUACUACAACUUUAAUAACACUGUUCUCUAACAUACAAAAAAAUACUUUGGAAUUACUGUGCUAAAACUCUUAACAAGCAUCAAAUGAUUUAGAAGCAAGCAUAAAAAAUGGAACGGAUAAAGAAAUAUGAAAAGUAUUUCAAUAUUACUUAUAAACUAUGUUAUAAAGCUGUCUCAAUUAAAAUUUCUCAUUAGCUUUUGUUGGGCCAGGGGUUCACAGAUUCAGACUCAUUAUCUGCAAUAAUACAGAUUCAUUAGAUUUUCCUAAAAAAGUCAUCUUUCCUCUGUUAUUGGUUGUUCCUGUCAUGAGCUCAGCUUCCAUUAGCCCUUCCUUGUACUUGUCAAACUCACAGACGUUUGUACAAGUCAAAAGUCAUUUUUUAUUAGGAAGAAAGGCUAAUGCUACUUUACUGAAAAUAACUGCAAAAUUUUAACCGGAACAUUUUCCUUCACUUUUUAUGAAGAAUUAAACUAUAGUAGUUAACAUAAAAAUGACUCACAGAACCUAGCAAGUUUUUUGGGCUUUUUUUUCUUUCCCCUCAGAAAAACUACAUUAGCCUGUCAGAAGCUCAACUUCCAGAAACGUUUUCAGCAGCGGAAGUAGCUCAGCAGAGAACAACCAGAAUGAAUUCAGGACUUACUAGCUGUUCAAGACCAAUUUUCCACAUUAAAGACGAGGUAAAAGAGAAGAGUUAAGGCACCAAAUUGUUGAGAAACAGAGACUGCAAUGAAAUAAAUCCCAGCUCAAGAAUAAAGAAAAAGCAGAUGCAAACUUACAUGUGAAAACCCUUCAUGCUAAAGGAAGUUCAUGCACUUUGUGGAAUGAAACACCAAGAGCAGCGAGCAGAGGAAUAUCUGGUUUGACAGGUGAGUCGCAGGAGUGCGGAGGUCAGAAAUAUGGCGUGAGGAGAACAACAGCUGACCCAAUGGCCACAACAGACCUCGAAGGGCUUCCUGGACUCUUUCUGCUUUCAAAUUUCCUAUGUCCCUAUGAAACUGGCUGUCUUCAAGUAGUUUCCCAGGGCCUGCAAUUCAU